AUUGAACGCUGGCGGAAUGCUUUACACAUGCAAGUCGAACGGCAGCACGGGGCAACCUGGUGGCGAGUGGCGAACGGGUGAGUAAUACAUCGGAACGUGCCCAAUCGUGGGGGAUAACGUAGCGAAAGCUACGCUAAUACCGCAUACGAUCUACGGAUGAAAGCGGGGGAUCGCAAGACCUCGCGCGAAUGGAGCGGCCGAUGGCAGAUUAGGUAGUUGGUGGGGUAAAGGCUCACCAAGCCUGCGAUCUGUAGCGGGUCUGAGAGGAUGAUCCGCCACACUGGAACUGAGACACGGUCCAGACUCCUACGGGAGGCAGCAGUGGGGAAUUUUGGACAAUGGGCGCAAGCCUGAUCCAGCCAUGCCGCGUGAGUGAAGAAGGCCU
rnacentral:rRNA from 1 species